GGCAAGCAUAUGUCAAAGAACAAUUCCCAACCAUAUAAGGAAAGGAAUGAAAGAUUCAAAAAGAUGAGAGCAUGUCAAACCAUAAUGCAUACAACAAGUAGAAAGGGCUUUGCUCGUUUAGAAGCUGAAAUG